UGGAGGACUGAGAAGGUGUAGCAGCUUGUGCUGUUAUAACUGGUUAUAACCUCCAAGAGUAACACACAAACCACUCAUAAAGAGGCUCCGUCUCAAGCGGAGCUCAUCUGUAGUGUUUGUUAA